UGUGUGUGUGUGUGUGUGUGUACACAUGCAUAUUCAGAUAUAUAUGUACACACAUAUACGUACAUAUAUGUACACACAUA